UACGUAGGGUGCAAGCGUUAAUCGGAAUUACUGGGCGUAAAGCGUGCGCAGGCGGUUAUGUAAGACAGAUGUGAAAUCCCCGGGCUCAACCUGGGAACUGCAUUUGUGACUGCAUAGCUAGAGUACGGUAGAGGGGGAUGGGAUUCCGCGUGUAGCAGUGAAAUGCGUAGAUAUGCGGAGGAACACCGAUGGCGAAGGCAAUCCCCUGGACCUGUACUGACGCUCAUGCACGAAAGCGUGGGGAGCAAACAGG
rnacentral:rRNA from 1 species